GAGUGCUAAGUGUUAGAGGGUUUCCGCCCUUUAGUGCCGAAGUUAACGCAUUAAGCACUCCGCCUGGGGAGUACGGCCGCAAGGCUGAAACUCAAAGGAAUUGACGGGGGCCCGCACAAGCGGUGGAGCAUGUGGUUUAAUUCGAAGCAACGCGAAGAACCUUACCAGGUCUUGACAUCCUCUGAAAACCCUAGAGAUAGGGCUUCUCCUUCGGGAGCAGAGUGACAGGUGGUGCAUGGUUGUCGUCAGCUCGUGUCGUGAGAUGUUGGGUUAAGUCCCGCAACGAGCGCAACCCUUGAUCUUAGUUGCCAUCAUUAAGUUGGGCACUCUAAGGUGACUGCCGGUGACAAACCGGAGGAAGGUGGGGAUGACGUCAAAUCAUCAUGCCCCUUAUGACCUGGGCUACACACGUGCUACAAUGGACGGUACAAAGAGCUGCAAGACCGCGAGGUGGAGCUAAUCUCAUAAAACCGUUCUCAGUUC
rnacentral:rRNA from 2 species